UAUCAUCAUGCACGCCAACGGUCACGGA
rnacentral:sRNA from 1 species